rnacentral:lncRNA from 1 species
AGGAAUAUAUAAAAGAGGAACCAGACAGGAAAGACAGGAACAAAGAUCACUAAAGCAGGAAGCUUCAGCCUUUCUCUGACAUUUGACCCAAAGCUCUGCCUUUGUCAUCUCAUGGCAUGGAGAUGAGGAAACUGAGUCAAACAGAGGUUGAGUGACCUGUCUCCUGCCACACAUAAGUAUCUGAAGCUAGAUAUAAGGAGGAGGCCUUUCCUAGUCUUGUAAUGAGAGGAUGCCCCUUUCCUUUGAAGAUUAUCUUCCAUCAACUCUGCAUAUAUCUUGUACAUAGAUAACUAUUUGUAUGCUAACUGUACAUUAGAAUAUGCAGUUAGUGGAGUUCCAGUCAGCCAUCUUGGAAUCAUGAAUACAAAACCCAUGAGUGCUCCUUGUGGGAAAUCAAGUAAAGGGGUGACUUCACAACAUUCUUCUCUAAGAAGGCAUUAGCAUCCAGAGGCUGCUGUGAUAGACUCCUGUUCUAUUUAUUAAUCUAGUCUACUGUGAGAAAUUAAUGUUAUUUUAAAAAAAGGUAUCAGUUAAAAUUCAUUAUAAAAAGAAAGA